rnacentral:ribozyme from 1 species
UUUUUUUUUUUUUUUUUUUUUUUUCUCGGCACUGACUUCAAACCCUCCACCUGACCUAAUCGGCGUCAUGUCGCAGCAUGAACGAAAAUCUG